UCCCUCUCAAAGUGGCUGUGAAAUGCGUCCUUCCUUUCUCGUAUAUCACAGCCAGCUUUGAAGAGCGCUA
rnacentral:pre_miRNA from 1 species